CAAAGAUAAUGGGAGUCCAGAAGUUUAAAAAUUUCAAACUACUGAAGGAUGAAGAAAAAAACAGAUGGAAGAUAUUUUGUCCCUUUUCCGAGAUCCUGUUAUAACAUCUUUGCUCCCAUUAAUACCUUGCUUAUUUCCCAGCAUUAGGAUGGUAGCAGUAUCUUCCGGAUUAGUAAGAAGGAAUGAGAGCAGCCCAACGCCAGCUGGACCCGCGGAGAAACUACCAGAUAUUAAAAUACGUAACUAUGCUUCAUUAGCCAGUCUGACUGAGUCAUCCAGACUCAAACAUCGUGACUGGAAGUGGGUUUUUUGUGUUCACUGUUGAUGCUGUUACAGAGAAUAAAAUUAAUGCAUAACAUAUUUCUUGAUAACUGAAAACAACCGAUACUGAAAAUCACAGUAGGGAGCCGAUGGCUGAGUGGUAUUAUUGCCAGACUGUUUAUACAAAGAUCCAGGUAGUAUUCUGGAGAACCAGGGUCAAAACGUGUCACACGAAAUGUUGGAAUUUGAUUUCGGUGAAUAUCUGCAAUUAAGAAUCUCAUGACCAUGAAUCCUUUGUCGAGUUUCGGAAAAUCCAUCUGGUUCACUAACAUUCUUGAGCCGUUCAUCCCGUGUCCCAACCAAUCUCUUUGUGAAGAAGUUGGCAACUGAUAGUUUCACUGUUGACUACGUAGCAACAGCGGCAGCAGUAAACAAGGCAGCUCACCCUUACCAUUCUUGGAGAAAAGCAGAACUUCUGGCCAAACAACGGGAAAUAGCUCUAUUGACGAGGUGGUUCAAGCAGUGGCCAAUGACUCGAUCCGCAGAGACAGUGUGCCUUCAUUCCCUGGUGAGAAAGACUCUGGUCUCCUGUCCACUGCUUCUUUUCUGUCUUUACGUAUCAACACUAGGCUUCUUUCAGUGUCUGUUUUCCCAACCAGCAUCCCGAAUUCCAGUUGUACAUCUACAACCAGCUGGGCAGGUUCCUCACUAAGCAUAAUGGGAGCAGAAAUGGAUGUAUCAGUGGCAGCAUUUAGAGGAGCUGCUGGGGUGGAAGCGACGGCUCGAUGCUGAGGAAGCUGCGACCUGGCGAAUGGAAAUCAGGCUCUGUCUGCUUCUGGCAAGGAGCUCAAACCAAAAAUGGCAAAAAGAGAAGCCAGCGAGAAGAUUCCAGAAUCGAAAGACACACGCAGUAGAGAAGGAUGUCCUGUGCCAUCUUGCUCCCAGCCCCACAGUGACAGUUCAAUUCCUGAGCAGGUUAGAUUUUCACCUGCACAGACUCUGGAAUCACCAUCAGCAGCCCCUCAGAUGAGCACCAGUCCUGACCGUAGUAUUUUCACAGAUGACGUUUAUUCCCAGGAUUUUGAACCUGUAGCAACACAAAGUAAACAGAAACUACUUCAGUCCAGCGUGAUAUUGAGAUCCGGAUCUGUGCACCGAAGGACAAACUUAAAAAGUGCAAGUCUAUUGUGGACAAGCUGAAGAAAGAGCAAAAGAAACUUCAAAAGGAGCGAUUGAAAGCACAGGAGGCCAGUCUCAUCAAACAACUGGAUGUGAGACCGAACCCACCACUAUGCUGCAGAUUUCAGCUGGGGUGUUUGGAACAUGUGACCUUGAAGUGAUUGCAGUUCAGAACAUUUCACAGGUUUCCAUUAAUGCGUUCCCAAAACCAAAUCAAUAUCCAGCUCCUUUAAUUAAAAAUUGUUGGGGUCUGUGAAUUUUUGUUCUUCACAUCUUAAGGAAAAGUGAUCUAGCACGUUUCCUUUUUCUGUUUUUUUUUCUGUCUGCCAUAAAUAAGAGUUUAUAUAUUCUUCUGAACGUUCAUUCAAACCUAAUUCCUUAAAUUCAUCUUCAUAGCCUCCUCUCUUCCUACUGUCAAGAGCUUCUUUUUUCCAAUGGGGUCUUGUAUAAUUCUGAUCUUAUACUUCCUUCUUCCUGACUAAUAUCUCACUAUUCUUUAAUAAAAAAGCUUUGGGACCUCUUUCUUGUUCAAUGCUGCAUAUAUGGAUUGCUGUAAUGUUGAAUGGUGUGUGCAAGGGCAUGAGAGGAAAAUCCGGAAUAAACUUGUUUUUG